rnacentral:rRNA from 1 species
GGCGGUUUCGUAAGUUGGACGUGAAAGCUCCUGGCUCAACUAGGAGAGGCCGUUCAAUACUGCGGAACUUGAGGGCAGCAGAGGGAGGUGGAAUUCCCGGUGUAGCGGUGAAAUGCGUGGAUAUCGGGAGGAACACCAGUGGCGAAGGCGGCCUCCUGGGCUGUUCCUGACGCUGAAGGCGAAAGCUAGGGGAGCGAACGGGAUUAGAAACCCGGUAGUCCUAGCCGUAAACGAUGGAUGCUAGGUGUGGACGGGUAUAGAAUCCCUCCGUGCCGAAGCUAACGCGUUAAGCAUCCCGCCUGGGGACUACGGCCGCAAGGCUAAAACUCAAACGAAUUGACGGGGGCCCGCACAAGCAGCGGAGCGUGUGGUUUAAUUCGAUGCUACACGAAGAACCUUACCUGGGCUUGACAUGCAAGUGGUAGUGAAGUGAAAGCGGAACGACCCUUCGGGGAGCUUGCACAGGUGCUGCAUGGCUGUCGUCAGCUCGUGCCGUGAGGUGUCGGGUUAAGUCCCGUAACGAGCGCAACCCUUGCCCUUAGUUAUACGUGUCUAAGGGGACUGCCCGGGACAACUGGGAGGAAGGUGGGGAUGACGUCAAGUCAGCAUGGCCUUUAUGUCCAGGGCUACACACACGCUACAAUGGCCGGUACAAUGGGUCGCCAAGCCGUGAGGCGGAGCCAAUCCUCCAAAGCCGGUCUCAGUUCGGAUUGUGGGCUGCAACUCGCCCACAUGAAG